GACGAACGCUGGCGGCGUGCCUAAUACAUGCAAGUAGAACGCACAGUUUAUACCGUAGCUUGCUACACCAUAGACUGUGAGUUGCGAACGGGUGAGUAACGCGUAGGUAACCUGCCUGGUAGCGGGGGAUAACUAUUGGAAACGAUAGCUAAUACCGCAUAAUAUUGAUUAUUGCAUGAUAAUUGAUUGAAAGAUGCUAUUGCAUCACUACCAGAUGGACCUGCGUUGUAUUAGCUAGUAGGUGAGGUAACGGCUCACCUAGGCGACGAUACAUAGCCGACCUGAGAGGGUGAUCGGCCACACUGGGACUGAGACACGGCCCAGACUCCUACGGGAGGCAGCAGUAGGGAAUCUUCGGCAAUGGACGAAAGUCUGACCGAGCAACGCCGCGUGAGUGAAGAAGGUUUUCGGAUCGUAAAGCACUGUUGUAAGAGAAGAACGGGUGUGAGAGUGGAAAGUUCACACUGUGACGGUAUCUUACCAGAAAGGGACGGCUAACUACGUG
rnacentral:rRNA from 1 species